rnacentral:rRNA from 1 species
ACUUUCAACAACGGAUCUCUUGGUUCUGGCAUCGAUGAAGAACGCAGCAAAAUGCGAUAAGUAAUGUGAAUUGCAGAAUUCAGUGAAUCAUCGAAUCUUUGAACGCACAUUGCGCCCGCCAGUAUUCUGGCGGGCAUGCCUGUUCGAGCGUCAUUUCAACCCUCAAGCACAGCUUGGUGUUGGGACUCGCGUUAAUUCGCGUUCCUCAAAUUGAUUGGCGGUCACGUCGAGCUUCCAUAGCGUAGUAGUAAAACCCUCGUUACUGGUAAUCGUCGCGGCCACGCCGUUAAACCCCAACUUCUGAAUGUUGACCUCGGAUCAGGUAGGAAUACCCGCUGAACUUAAGCAUAUCAAUAAGCGGAGGAAAAGAAACCAACAGGGAUUGCCCUAGUAACGGCGAGUGAAGCGGCAACAGCUCAAAUUUGAAAUCUGGCUCUCGGGCCCGAGUUGUAAUUUGUAGAGGAUACUUUUGAUGCGGUGCCUUCCGAGUUCCCUGGAACGGGACGCCAUAGAGGGUGAGAGCCCCGUCUGGUUGGAUGCCAAAUCUCUGUAAAGUUCCUUCAACGAGUCGAGUAGUUUGGGAAUGCUGCUCUAAAUGGGAGGUAUAUGUCUUCUAAAGCUAAAUACCGGCCAGAGACCGAUAGCGCACAAGUAGAGUGAUCGAAAGAUGAAAAGCACUUUGAAAAGAGAGUUAAAAAGUACGUGAAAUUGUUGAAAGGGAAGCGUUUAUGACCAGACUUGGGCUUGGUUAAUCAUCUGGGGUUCUCCCCAGUGCACUUUUCCAGUCCAGGCCAGCAUCAGUUUUCCCCGGGGGAUAAAGGCGGCGGGAAUGUGGCUCUCUUCGGGGAGUGUUAUAGCCCACCGUGUAAUACCCUGGGGGGGACUGAGGUUCGCGCAUCUGCAAGGAUGCUGGCGUAAUGGUCAUCAACGACCCGUCUUGAAACACGGACCAAGGAGUCGUCUUCGUAUGCGAGUGUUCGGGUGUCAAACCCCUACGCGUAAUGAAAGUGAACGCAGGUGAGAGCUUCGGCGCAUCAUCGACCGAUCCUGAUGUUCUCGGAUGGAUUUGAGUAAGAGCAUACGGGGCCGGACCCGAAAGAAGGUGAACUAUGCCUGUAUAGGGUGAAGCCAGAGGAAACUCUGGUGGAGGCUCGCAGCGGUUCUGACGUGCAAAUCGAUCGUCAAAUAUGGGCAUGGGGGCGAAAGACUAAUCGAACCUUCUAGUAGCUGGUUUCCGCCGAAGUUUCCCUCAGGAUAGCAGUGUUGAACUCAGUUUUAUGAGGUAAAGCGAAUGAUUAGGGACUCGGGGGCGCUAUUUAGCCUUCAUCCAUUCUCAAACUUUAAAUAUGUAAGAAGCUCUUGUUGCUUAAUUGAACGUGAGCAUUCGAAUGUAUCAACACUAGUGGGCCAUUUUUGGUAAGCAGAACUGGCGAUGCGGGAUGAACCGAACGCGAGGUUAAGGUGCCAGAGUAGACGCUCAUCAGACACCACAAAAGGUGUUAGUACAUCUUGACAGCAGGACGGUGGCCAUGGAAGUCGGAAUCCGCUAAGGACUGUGUAACAACUCACCUGCCGAAUGUACUAGCCCUGAAAAUGGAUGGCGCUCAAGCGUCUCACCCAUACCUCGCCCUCAGGGUAGAAACGAUGCCCUGAGGAGUAGGCGGACGUGGAGGUCAGUGACGAAGCCUAGGGCGUGAGCCCGGGUUGAACGGCCUCUAGUGCAGAUCUUGGUGGUAGUAGCAAAUACUUCAAUGAGAACUUGAAGGACCGAAGUGGGGAAAGGUUCCAUGUGAACAGCGGUUGGACAUGGGUUAGUCGAUCCUAAGCCAUAGGGAAGUUCCGUUUCAAAGGUGCACUUUGCACCGUCUGGCGAAAGGGAAGCCGGUCAAUAUUCCGGCACCUGGAUGUGGGUUUUGCGCGGCAACGCAACUGAACGUGGAGACGACGGCGGGGGCCCCGGGCAGAGUUCUCUUUUCUUCUUAACAGUCUCUCACCCUGAAAUCGGUUUGUCCGGAGCUAGGGUUUAAUGGCUGGAAGAGCCCAGCACCUCUGCUGGGUCCGGUGCGCUCUCGACGUCCCUUGAAAAUCCACGGGAGGAAAUAAUUCUCACGCUACUCAUAACCGCAGCAGGUCU